rnacentral:rRNA from 1 species
UACAGAGGGUGCAAGCGUUAAUCGGAUUUACUGGGCGUAAAGCGUGCGUAGGCGGUUCAUUAAGUCGGUUGUGAAAUCCCUGGGCUUAACCUGGGAACUGCAGUCGAUACUGGUGAACUAGAAUGCGGUAGAGGGUGGCGGAACUCCGGGUGUAGCGGUGAAAUGCGUAGAUAUCCGGAAGAACACCGAUGGCGAAGGCAGGUCUCUGGGCAUUAACUGACGCUGAGGAGCGAAAGCAUGGGGAGCGAACAGG